UACGUAGGGGGCAAGCGUUGUCCGGAUUUAUUGGGCGUAAAGAGCUCGUAGGCGGUCUGUUGCGUCUGCUGUGAAAACCCGGGGCUUAACCCCUGGCUUGCAGUGGAUACGGACAGACUAGAGGUAGGUAGGGGAGAAUGGAAUUCCCGGUGUAGCGGUGAAAUGCGCAGAUAUCGGGAGGAACACCCGUAGCGAAGGCGGCACUCUGGGCCGGUACUGACGCUGAGGAGCGAAAGCGUGGGGAGCAAACAGG
rnacentral:rRNA from 1 species